rnacentral:misc_RNA from 1 species
AUGAAUUCAAGUGGACCUAGCACCGUGCAAACGGAUGGCCGCUUAAUCUCAUUCUCACACACUGUGCUCAUUGAAGAAUUUAAAAGCAUUCACAUGUUUUUAAACCUUUAAAACACUUGAACGUCGAACAGUCUCGUGAUGUUGUCAAACAUUUAAUUGUAAAUGAAAGAA